GUGCCUAUACAUGCAAGUCCGAACGAACUCCUGGUAUUGAUUGGUGCUUGCAUCAUGAUUUACAUUUGAGUGAGUGGCGAACUGGUGAGUAACACGUGGGAAACCUGCCCAGAAGCGGGGGAUAACACCUGGAAACAGAUGCUAAUACCGCAUAACAACUUGGACCGCAUGGUCCGAGCUUGAAAGAUGGCUUCGGCUAUCACUUUUGGAUGGUCCCGCGGCGUAUUAGCUAGAUGGUGGGGUAACGGCUCACCAUGGCAAUGAUACGUAGCCGACCUGAGAGGGUAAUCGGCCACAUUGGGACUGAGACACGGCCCAAACUCCUACGGGAGGCAGCAGUAGGGAAUCUUCCACAAUGGACGAAAGUCUGAUGGAGCAACGCCGCGUGAGUGAAGAAGGGUUUCGGCUCGUAAAACUCUGUUGUUAAAGAAGAACAUAUCUGAGAGUAACUGUUCAGGUAUUGACGGUAUUUAACCAGAAAGCCACGGCUAACUACGUGCCAGCAGCCGCGGUAAUACGUAGGUGGCAAGCGUUGUCCGGAUUUAUUGGGCGUAAAGCGAGCGCAGGCGGUUUUUUAAGUCUGAUGUGAAAGCCUUCGGCUCAACCGAAGAAGUGCAUCGGAAACUGGGAAACUUGAUUGCAGAAGAGGACAGUGGAACUCCAUGUGUAGCGGUGAAAUGCGUAGAUAUAUGUGAAUAACACCAGUGAACGAAGGACGGCUGUCUGGCUCUGUAACUGAACGCUAAGGUCUCGAACGUAUGGCUAGGGAAACAAGAAUUAGAUAACCCUGCGUCGCCCAUACGAUGACACUUAUAAAUAUCUAAGUGAUUGGAGGGGGAGACGCCCCGCGAUUGACUGCGGGCUAACUGCAUGCAACGCAAUGACUAACCUCGUGGACGGGAAGAUACGCUCCGCCGGGGUAGCGACGAGAAAGAGUAUAUCACAUGGGACACGGGAGAAACACAGACGGGGCGGUGAGGUUUGUAGCGGCAAAAAUAACGCAGGAGACGCCGGAAACGCAGUCAAUCGAAGAUUUUGAGGGCCAUACUGAGGGGAAAAAUUAAAAAGGACGAACGAGGACCGUUGUCCGUGGUGGAAGAAUACCUGACAAAAUAAGGGGGGGGAAUUGUUUCGGCCCUUCCCAGGUACCCGAUUCCGUUUGCAUUGAAGAAAAAAAGGUGAAGGUUAUUAAGAAGACCCCGGAAAGGACUCCUGGAUUCGCAACCGCAAGGGGAUGGGAAGGGUAGGGUUACGCAACAAAGAUUAAAAAACUUUGUCAGGGGCCGGAUCCUUAGGGGGGGAAAAAACUAAACCACGCCCCGGGAUUCCGGGAAAUAAACCCUGGGGACUUGAAAAAAGGGGUUUUGGGGGAGGUGGAAACCCGCGCGCAGCGCCCAAAUUUCCCAAAACUGCUGGAAGGGGCCCCGAAAAAUAAAAAAAGACGCUCCAAGGGCCGCCGGAGUUCCCCACGGGUUGGUGUGAGAUUUUUUCGGGAAAAAAUGUGGGUUUGGGGGGAAAAAGGGGUCGCGGGGAUAAGGGCGGGAAAACCGGGCCUAUUAACCACAA
rnacentral:rRNA from 1 species